GCCUUCGUGGUGUAGUGGUCAGCACGCUGGGCGCGUAUUCCAUGGUUCGAUUCCCGGCGAAGGCG
rnacentral:tRNA from 1 species